rnacentral:tRNA from 1 species
AUAGAGCCUUAGUAGUAUA